GCAGCGCGUGGAGGACCUGCGGGCCAGGCCGGGCCAGCGGCGCUCCUCCCCUCCGCCUCCCCACUGCCCCCGCUGCCUGGGGCGGCGCGAAGGGCUGGCCGCCCGCGGGUUCCUGGAGGCAGAAAUGGCUGCGAGCGGCCGGGGUCUCGGUAGGGCCUGGGGUGCCUCUCGCUGCCCCGCUUGGAGACAUGCUCACUGGGAAGCUGGCGGACGCCCGAGGCCUGAGUACGAUGCGGUGGUGAUAGGAGCAGGACACAAUGGGCUGGUGGCUGCGGCGUACCUGCAGAGACUGGGGGUGAACACGGCGGUCUUCGAGAGGCGCCAUGUGAUCGGGGGUGCAGCAGUCACUGAGGAGAUCAUUCCAGGGUUUAAGUUCUCCCGUGCAUCCUACCUCCUCAGCCUUCUGAGGCCACAGAUUUACACAGACCUGGAGCUGAAGAAACACGGACUGAGGCUUCAUCUCCGAAAUCCCUACUCCUUCACCCCCAUGUUGGAAGAGGGCACAGGGGGCAACGUGCCCAGAUCCCUUCUUCUGGGAACAGACAUGACACAAAACCAGAAGCAAAUUGCCCAGUUCUCACAGAAGGAUGCCCAGGCCUUUCCCAGAUACGAGGAGUUCAUGAAUCGCUUGGUAUCAGCCAUUGACCCUCUGCUGGACGCAGCCCCAGUGGACACCGCGGCCUUCCAGCGCGGCUCGAUGCUGCAGAGGCUCAAGUUACUGUCCACCCUCAAGCCCCUGCUGAAGGCUGGUCGCACCCUGGGAGCUCAGCUUCCCCAGUACUACCAGGUGUUCACAGCUCCCAUCACCAGGGUGCUGGAUCAGUGGUUUGAGUCUGAGCCCCUGAAAGCCACUCUAGCAACGGAUGCUGUUAUUGGAGCCAUGACAAGUCCUCGCACUCCGGGCAGUGGGUACGUGCUGCUGCAUCAUGUGAUGGGUGGUCUGGAGGGGAUCCAGGGUGCCUGGGGCUACGUCCAGGGUGGCAUGGGUGCCCUCUCUGAGGCCAUUGCAAGAUCGGCCAUUGCACAUGGAGCAAGUAUCUUCACUGAGAAGACAGUGGCUAGGGUGCAGGUGAAUGGCGAAGGCCACGUUCGAGGAGUGGUGCUGCAGGACGGCCUGGAGGUGAGGAGCAGAGUGGUGCUGUCCAGCGCAUCCCCACAGAUCACCUUCCUGAAGCUGACCCCACAGGAGUGGCUUCCAGAGGGGUUUGCAGAGAGAAUUGCUCAGCUGGACACCCAGUCUCCUGUUACCAAGAUCAAUGUGGCUGUGGACAGGCUGCCCAACUUCCUGGCAGCACCCAAUACUCCCACGGGCCAGCCGCUGCCCCAUCACCAGUGCUCCAUCCACCUGAACUGUGAAGACACCCUCCUCCUCCAUCAGGCCUUUGAAGAUGCCACGGAUGGCCUGCCGUCUCACAGGCCCAUGAUUGAGCUCUGCAUCCCUUCCUCACUGGACCCCACCCUGGCUCCCCCUGGCUGCCAUGUCGUCUCCCUCUUCACACAGUACACGCCCUACACGCUGGCUGGAGGCAAGGUCUGGGAUGAGCAGGAGAAAAAUGCCUACGCAGACAAAGUGUUGGACUGCAUCGAGGCCUAUGCCCCUGGCUUCAAGGGCUCUGUGGUGGGCAGAGACAUCCUCACACCUCCUGAUCUGGAGAGAAUCUUUGGGCUUCCUGGAGGGAACAUAUUCCACUGUGCCAUGACCCUGGACCAGCUCUACUUCGCCCGCCCAGUGCCCCUGCACUCCAGCUACCGCUGCCCUCUCCAAGGCCUGUAUCUGUGUGGAAGUGGGGCCCAUCCUGCUAACUGGUUGGGAUGAGGCUGCUGCUUCCUACUGACACUUCCUCUGAGCUCUGCGGGCCUCAGCCUCUUAGAAAGGGCUCUACUCACACGUCUUCCCCCUCCAACCUCAUGCUGGAGGAGGUGUUAUGGGAGCCGCUGGACGAAAUGCAGCCCAUGUGGUCUUGCAGGACCUCAAGAGCUCAGGACACUGAACCAACUCUGACGCAGGACAAAAAUCAGCCCUGAGCCUCUCUGUCAGACCUGGGCCCGGCUGCCCAGGAAGCUGUGCUCCAGUGGACACUGCUUGAGGCAGCCAAGUUCACAAGACUCAAGCCAUUAUUUUAGAAGAAAUGUGCAAGUUACAUGUAGCACAAGUUAACCCGUGCCCCAUGCCUCCAUGAAUGAGCUGGUUUGUUUUAUUAAAAAAACAAUGUUUUAUACAAA